CAAUAGCCGUGUUUCGAGUUACUCCGGAACACCCGGGAUUUUUCGUAUUUAGCCACGCCGGUCACGUGAUAUGAGCAAAAUGUUCCACAGGGGUACUUCCGGUUAAUUUUGUUUACACUGGUAACAAAAUUGUUUUUGACAAAAUAUAGAUUUUGCGGCACAAACUGUCGCAAAUCAGAUAAAGGAUAGCAAGGGAUAUAUAUUUACUUGGGAAGAUGUCAAAGUUUACCUUUUCCCAAACCCGGGAAAAGCGUUCACGCAGAGGAAACGAUGGCGUCAUUUGUGUAGAAAACCACGAGCAGCCGAAAUUGAGUGCGAUUAUUACAUUCCGUGAAAGCUGAACCAACAAAGAAACAUCAUUGUUCUAGCCAGUUUGCUUAUAUUAACUUUUAGGAAAACCAAGAGGUUGAUAACAAUGGCUGAUCUGCAUAUAAUGACUGCUAGUUAUUGGCUGGUAUGCAGUGAAAGGGAGCUAAAAAGGAGUAAAAAGUUCAUAUCAGCCAGGUGAGAAUUAAUUUCUUCUUUUUUGUGUGUUAUACAUAUGUAAUUCUUUUCUUUUGCUGCUUCAAAUCUUGUGUAUUUGAAAAUUUUCAGUCUAAUAUUUGGCAAUGUUAUAGGUAGUGUGGUUUAAAUAAACCAGUGUUAAGGAAUAUCCAGUAAUGGCAUGACAUCAUGAGAGUUUGGCAUACCGACAUUCAGAUGAUUAAUGAUGAAACUGAAGACCUCAAGUGAAAGGCAUGGAAAAUUAUCCUGUUCCCAUUAACCUGGAAAAGAGGAGGGAUGCCACAAUAUUGAUAAUAGACUUUUGUCAAUUUGAGAAGCAAAGAUGUAAAAAAAAAAAAAAAAAAAAAAAAAAAAAAAAAAAAAAAAAAAAAAAAAAUAAAUAAUGCUGAAAUUAUAAUUCAUGUAUUUGUUAAAAAUACUGUUCACUGUACAUACAUGUAUAUUUUUUUUAACUUAUUUGGAAAUACAUGAAGUAAUUCAUAUUAAAACUGAAUGUAUGAGUUUUCAUGAUUUUUAUCAAUAAAGCUUACCAUAUUUAUUG